rnacentral:lncRNA from 1 species
AGUGGAUUAAACAACCCCGUAUUAUCAUUUUCAUAUAGUUUACACCGAAAACUCAAGAACUACAAGGCUACUCAUAAAAAUCGAGAGAAAACAAAUGCUUUUUGUUAAGUGUCAUUGCUGAAAUUUUCACAAACAUGACAAAAUAAUCAGUUUUUCUAGCGGAAAAUCAUUUUUCACAACACUUAGAUUGCCAGUUUAGUCUUAAUAAGCAAGAUAGUCAAGCUUUCAUAUUUUACGCAACCUAAUCAACCAAGGACAAAGUCACUACUAUCUGCUGAAUAAAAUGAGAACAACUAG